UCUGGAAGCCAUGGCUGCUGCCCUCAACAUGCUAAACUGAAACCCUCACAAAUAAACUGAUAUCAAUAAUUAACAUUGAUGGUGAUGGUGGCAAGGGUGCCUUCAUAAGGUGCCAUCCAGCAAGUCCCAGCCUGGAGCCAGAGGCUGGCACUGCACGUCAGAUGGGGGAGGAUCUAUGUUAGGCAUCAGAAAGGUGGUUUAAGCAAGAAGGAAAGAGCUUCUGCAGACAGUGUUGCAAUUAGGUAUGAUACUUUUGGAAAUUGAUCU